ACCACACGUGUGUAAUUUGCUUCCGUAUUCCUCAGUUUCCUCAUCCGUACAAACAAUAAAAUCCACAUCUCCAGAAGAUCACAGAAGACUGCGCAAACCACAGAAGCCACGAAGGAGGGGCUAAGCGCUGACUGACGCCCCGGGGCGAGAUGGAAUUAAAGCUCCAGAUAGGGAUCUACUGUCAGAGUGUCCACUCCAGCCCAAAACUGGCUUGAACUGGGAUUACACAAGAUUUGAGAGCCGUCCUGCAACCUUCUGACCUGUCUGCUGCUCCAGAGCUGUGAUGAACCCAUACAGGGCCACCCUGAGUUCUCUCCUGCUCCCAUCUGGCUGCAACCUGAUUCUGUUUCUUUAGAGAAAGUGAAAAUAAUAAUAAUAAUAAUAAAAAAACCUGUUGAGGUCAA